rnacentral:rRNA from 1 species
AACCAACGCUGGCGGCGUGCCUAAUACAUGCAAGUCGAACGGGGAAAGUAGCAAUAUGAGUACUAGUGGCGCACGGGUGAGUAACGCGUGGAUAAUCUGCCUUGAAGAGGGGGAUAACUAGUCGAAAGAUUAGCUAAUACCGCAUAAGACCACAAGAACUGAGGUUCAAGGGGUCAAAGGUUUUUCGCUUCAAGAUGAGUCCGCGUAAGAUUAGCUAGUUGGUGAGGUAAUGGCUCACCAAGGCAACGAUCUUUAACUGGUCUGAGAGGAUGAUCAGUCACACUGGAACUGGGACACGGUCCAGACUCCUACGGGAGGCAGCAGUAGGGAAUAUUGCACAAUGGAGGAAACUCUGAUGCAGCGACGCCGCGUGAGUGAUGAAGGCCUUCGGGUCGUAAAGCUCUGUCGCAGGGGAAUAACACAAUGAAUGUACCCUGUAAGAAAGGAUCGGCUAACUUCGUG